rnacentral:lncRNA from 1 species
CUGAAGAAGGCUGUGACAGUGACUGCUGCUCUCGGUGGAAGUUUGCAUCUUCCGGUCCCAGUAGGGAGGAACAGUGGGGGCCCUUCUUUAUCUAGAAAUUAAAUUUCUUGCUCUUCUUUGAAUGUCUAAAAGAUGAGGAAAAGAAGCCUCUUCACCCAGGAAAUGAGAAACACAAGGAGAACCUGAAUAAGAAGAAGCCAAGAUUGAGUCCAGGCUGGACCUUGGGGAAAGGCCAUAUAGGUAAAGAGAUUUCAUUCCAAAUUAAUCAGAAUCAGACAUUAUGUAUCUAUCUAUCUAUCUAUCUAUCUAUCUAUGAUGAGAUGGUUGGAUAGCAUCACCAACUCAAUGGACAUGAGUUUGAGUGAACUUCAGGAGAUAGUGAAG